rnacentral:lncRNA from 1 species
AACAGCUCCAAAUAGCCUGGUGUCCUAUUUUUCCUCAGGGGAUGGAUACCUUAGCCACCUUCCCUGGCCUGGAAUGCAAAGAAUGCCACUUCAUUUGAGUGAAUAGAGAAUUCUUGGUAAAGGAAAACAAUCCGUCUCUCUCCGUCCCUCUUUCUCUCUCAUAAAUCAUAAAUCACAGACAAGAUGGAGGUCUUUCUGACAAUACCUAGAGAAAAAAAAAAGUCGUCUUUUAGAAUCACCCAAGCACAGGCCUGGCAGUGGAGUGUCUACCUCCAGGGCCCACAGACGACCUCCCACAACCAAGCUGACGGUGAGCCUGACCUUGAGAUCCCGCACAAGAACUCCUUGGCUGUCCAGUGGUUCCCAGGAAGACUUGACUGUCACCAUCAUCUUCAUCCACUAAAGGGCUUAAUGCCACUUGGAAUGGCCUGUCUUGGCCCUUGAGGUGACUUGACAAGAGAUUGUCACAUAAUGAGGUAUAUGGGGUAACUAUUCGAAUUCAAAACCGAUUCAGCUUGAACUAGAAAGCCUGACUUAUGGCCUAUCAAACACACAUUGUACAGCUGCUUAUCCAUUAAAGUAAGAAAUCUCUCUUGGGGCUGGCCCCGUGGCCGAGUG